rnacentral:rRNA from 1 species
UACAGAGGGUGCAAGCGUUAAUCGGAAUUACUGGGCGUAAAGCGCGCGUAGGCGGCUGUCUAAGUCGGGUGUGAAAGCCCCGGGCUCAACCUGGGAACUGCAUUCGAUACUGGACGGCUAGAGUAUGAGAGAGGGAGGUAGAAUUCCACGUGUAGCGGUGAAAUGCGUAGAUAUGUGGAGGAAUACCGGUGGCGAAGGCGGCCUCCUGGUUCAAUACUGACGCUGAGGUGCGAAAGCGUGGGGAGCAAACAGGAUUAGAAACCCGGGUAGU